GACGAACGCUGGCGGCGCGCCUAACACAUGCAAGUCGAACGGAGCGUAUGGGAAGAGCCCUUCGGGGUAAUUUCCGUAUUGCUUAGUGGCGAACGGGUGAGUAACACGUGAGUAACCUACCUCGGGGCGGGGGACAACAUUUGGAAACAGAUGCUAAUACCGCAUAAGACCACAGCCGGACAUCCGGCAGCGGCCAAAGGAUUUAUCCACCCUGAGAUGGACUCGCGCCCGAUUAGCUAGUUGGUGAGGUAACGGCCCACCAAGGCAACGAUCGGUAGCCGGACUGAGAGGUUGAACGGCCACAUUGGGACUGAGACACGGCCCAGACUCCUACGGGAGGCAGCAGUGGGGAAUAUUGCACAAUGGGCGAAAGCCUGAUGCAGCGACGCCGCGUGGAGGAAGAAGGUUUUCGGAUUGUAAACUCCUGUCUUCGGGGACGAUAAUGACGGUACCCGAGGAGGAAGCCACGGCUAACUACGUGCCAGCCGCCGCAGUAAAA
rnacentral:rRNA from 1 species